rnacentral:rRNA from 1 species
GUAGGGGGCAAGCGUUGUCCGGAUUUAUUGGGCGUAAAGAGCGUGUAGGCGGCCAGGUAGGUCGGUUGUGAAAACUAGAGGCUUAACCUCUAGACGUCGACCGAAACCAUCUGGCUAGAGUCCGGAAGAGGAGAGUGGAAUUCCUGGUGUAGCGGUGAAAUGCGCAGAUAUCAGGAAGAACACCCGUGGCGAAAGCGGCUCUCUGGGACGGUACUGACGCUGAGACGCGAAAGCGUGGGGAGCGAACAGGAUUAGAUACCCUGGUAGUCCACGCCGUAAACGAUGGGUGCUAGGUGUGGGAGGUGUCGACUCCUCCCGUGCCGCAGCUAACGCAUUAAGCACCCCGCCUGGGGAGUACGGCCGCAAGGCUA